rnacentral:rRNA from 1 species
UACGGGGGGGGCAAGCGUUGUUCGGAAUUACUGGGCGUAAAGGGCUUGUAGGUGGCCAACUAAGUCAGACGUGAAAUCCCCGGGCUCAACCCGGGAACUGCGUCCGAUACUGGAAGGCUUGAAUCCGGGAGAGGGAUGCGGAAUUCCAGGUGUAGCGGUGAAAUGCGUAGAUAUCUGGAGGAACACCGGUGGCGAAGGCGGCAUCCUGGACCGGCAUUGACGCUGAGGCGCGAAAGCCAGGGGAGCAAACGGG